GGCCCGAGUGCCGCCGCCCGUAGGCCGCCACCACCAGCGCCCGCAGAGCUCCCAACCCCGAGCUCCUCCUCCCGUGCACCUUCUCCCCAGCCUUCCUCGCGCGUCAUCGGGCGACCGGCGCCACCACCAGCGACCAUCCAGGUCACGCCACCGCCCCCUGCCUUCUCUCUUUCCUAUCUCUCUCUAAUCUCCUCAUCUCUCCUUCUCCCCAGGAGCUCAGCGCCAGCGCCAUGGAUGCCCAGUCCUCGAGCUCACCUUGGAGGUUCGAACGCCGCCACGGGACCUCCACCGGCCAGAUCCGGCGCCUCCCUCCCCGGAUCCGCGCGCCCUCCACCUCCUCUACCCGAUCUGGCGCCCCACCCACCUCCCCACCACGCCCCGUCCCGCCUUAGUGCGCGCCGCCGGGCGCCUCAUGCCUCCCAAUCCCAUCUCCUCCUCACCCGCGGCUUCUUCGCUGUUCACGGCUCCCGAAGCUCGAGCGGGCCGAUCUACGCGUCGGUGACCUCGUGGGAGGCAGAGGAUGGGAUGGUGUGUUGUGCUCGAGAAGAGUGGGCUCAAGUAAGGGGAUUGGAGACGGGGAUGGAGAGGGCGGUUGCUGGCAAAAUCAAGGCUGGGCAGGCCGGAAUUGAUCUAAAAAAACAGGAAAUAUAAAUAGCAUGCAAGCAAUCAGGUUGAUCAGAGCCAGACAGUUCACUACAGUAAGCAAUGCAAUAUCGUGGCAGAUUGUUAUCGCUAGCAAGGACUCACUGAUCUCUGAUGUGGCUCUCGAUGGUGAUGCGAUGCAAAAUGGACAAAUCCAUCAUCGUUAGUCUGCUACUGUUGGCUUCUUCUGAGCUACUAAUAUCAGAUCAGCGCUGAUUUGGGGAGUAAAGCUCUUCGAGCAAGUGACAAAAAUCAAGUCUUCUGAGCAUCUCAAAGAUGGCGACCUGAAGUCGUUUGACUGGCAGCUUAAAAGCAAUUAAAGUGCACAGAGAAAUCAAACUUUUAAAGCCACUCUUGCCAUUUGUGGACUGUUCCUGCUUGUUGGUGACUGCUUUUGCGAGUAUGUUCACUCUCAUCUACUCCCUUCAUUCCAAAAUAGAUGACUCUACUUUGUAUUGACUUUAGUACAAAGUUACAAAGUUGAGUCAUCUAUUUUGGAACGGAGGGAGUAGCAAUGAAAUAUUUUGUCUCUGUUGCGCAGCCGCUGAAAGGGCAAACUCCAGAUCCUAGAUAUCUAUGGGUUUUGGGUGCCCUCUGGGGUUACCUGAAUGUUCCUAUUUCUAUUUCUUCUUCCCUUCUUAGUUUUCUUUAUGAUGUAGAUGACAAUUGGUUUGUGUUAAUAUAAUUCAGAGAGGAGGCUCUCUUUUAGAAAAUCUAAUGAGGGGAGACUGAAUGACCGAGUGUAGAUGACACUGACCAAGUUUAUUAGUAUGUGAUCCUACAUGUUGCUCCAUUAA